rnacentral:lncRNA from 1 species
AAGAAAAAGUAGCUCCUCCUCCUGUCCUCGCCGCGUCGAAAUGUCGACGGCUUUCAAUUCCCGAUCAAAUUUACAAGGGAAUCCGUGGUAGCUCUUUCAAUUCUCCUGGCUCCGCCGCUCCUCUGGUAAUUUCUCCGAGGUUAGCUCGUCUGCUACAAUGAAAUCGGCAAUCGUCUGGGGAAUCAGCAGCUCCUGCGACGGCCACAUCUUCGCCGUACAUCCGUGGAUAAGGAAGAAGAGAUUCGAACCUGGAUAAUCUAUGAAGCGAACAAAGACAGACAGAACUUGGAGCGUCAAAUCUGUGAGUGGAAUUACAGGAUAGGACCAACUAAGUCAUAACAUGUAUAUAGUCUGUUGUUACACAAUUCACAGUUUUGAUUUUGGGUUUAGUUAAAUGUCUGGCUUGGCUAAUCAUGUGGUUGGUUCUCAAAGACUGACAAGGAACUUCGAUUGUAUAUACACUGGUUUAAGAUGCUAGGCAGUUUUUCAUCAACUGUUAGAUUUCGAUUUCUCUAUGUAGCACUAAUAUACAUUUUGGUAGUCUUAGCUGUCUGUCUUUGAUCAUUUCACCUGACUAUUAUGAUGAUUUACCUUGAAUAUUUGUGACCUUGUUGUAAGUCCUAUCCAGCAAGGAUCUCAUUUGAUGUUUCGAAACUCCAGGCGACCCUCGAGCUAUGCUCUUCCACAGGAUAAUACAAAAUGUAUUUGACCUUGGCUUGGAAGUUCUGCAGAACAUUUAAUUGUUUUUGUAGCUCUCUCUGUCUCUGUCUUUUCUUGAUGAGACCACCGGACCAGACACCCUGCUGUUAAUACAUUUACCUGGAAGAGAGUGGAAUCGGAAUCAUAGAAUCGCUUCAGUUCUCAACGCCUUGAGUUACUACUCUUCUUGCUCAUAAAUCAGAAGGGUUUCAAUGUACAAGGUCGAUUGAUGUUUGCUCGCUCCACAAACUCAGAAGCCUCUAUUGAUGAAAUUGCAGACGAUUUUGGAAGACUCAAAUGAUGAUGAUUGGUGGUGAGGCUACCUCGCUAGUGUAUCAAUUGUUUUCUCAAAAGCUUUAAAACGUUGAAAAUAAGCAUAAUUCCACAGGUUUAUAUUUGUAUUUGCACUUCUCUGAGAAUAGUGGAGGUUUCAGUUGUUAAUGAGUGUAUUUGCUGCCUUUAAUCACAAGUUUUUUCUUAACUUUUCUAAGUAAGCAUUCACAGAGUUUGUAAUAUAUCUCUUUAAUUACAUUACCUUAAGAACAAGAUGCAUUUUCAGAGCCAUAAAGUUGAAUCAUUAUAUGCACACAAAAGACUUUCAACUUUGGUCACAAUUACUCUACUACACGCCUUUGCUUAAGCUUGGAGUACAGAUAUCUGAACAUUUGGGGAAGCUUUUCCUUCAAGUCUCCGAAGUUCAGUGGCAAUGUCGUAAAGAGCGGUAACGCUAUCUUCUGUUUGCCCAUAUAUUUUCACUUGUUGGAGAUGUAGCAUUCUCAUCAAAAACCACCGUACUUGCUCACCAAAUCGGGCUGCAUCCUCAGUAACUUCUCCUCUCUUUUUCCCAACAACUCCUUCGUAUAUCUCUAGGUGAGUAACAGGAGAUUUUACUAGGUAAGAGAUUGCCUGCUCCAUGUUCCUCCUGCAGGGACACACAUCACCACACACAUCUGUGGCUAAGUGGAAAAGCCC